AGCGAACGCUGGCGGCAGGCCUAACACAUGCAAGUCGAACGAACUCUUCGGAGUUAGUGGCGGACGGGUGAGUAACACGUGGGAACGUGCCUUUUGGUUCGGAAUAACUCAGGGAAACUUGUGCUAAUACCGAAUGUGCUCUUCGGGGGAAAGAUUUAUCGCCAUUAGAGCGGCCCGCGUCUGAUUAGCUAGUUGGUGAGGUAACGGCUCACCAAGGCGACGAUCAGUAGCUGGUCUGAGAGGAUGACCAGCCACACUGGGACUGAGACACGGCCCAGACUCCUACGGGAGGCAGCAGUGGGGAAUCUUGCGCAAUGGGCGAAAGCCUGACGCAGCCAGGCCGCGUGAAUGAUGAAGGUCUUAGGAUUGUAAAAUUCUUUCACCGGGGACGAUAAUGACGGUACCCGGAGAAGAAGCCCCGGCAAACUUCGU
rnacentral:rRNA from 1 species